rnacentral:rRNA from 1 species
GUAGUUGAUCUUGGCUCAGAACGAACGCUGGCGGCAGGCUUAACACAUGCAAGUCGGAGCGCGAGGCCUUCGGGCCUCGAGCGGCGGACGGGUGAGUAACGCGUGGGAACGUGCCCUUUCCUCCGGAAUAGCCCUGGGAAACCCGGGAGUAAUGCCGGAUACGCCCCUCGGGAGUGGAUCCCGUGGGGGAAAGAUUUAUCGGGGAAGGAUCGGCCCGCGCCGGAUUAGGUAGUUGGUGGGGUAACGGCCUACCAAGCCGACGAUCCGUAGCUGGUUUGAGAGGAUGAUCAGCCACACUGGGACUGAGACACGGCCCAGACUCCUACGGGGGGCAGCAGUGGGGAAUUUUGGACAAUGGGGGCAACCCUGAUCCAGCCAUGCCGCGUGUGUGAAGAAGGCC